UUUUAAAUGUAAUUAUGGCCCAUGCAUUAUUUGGGAUAUACUUAUACUAAGA
rnacentral:pre_miRNA from 1 species